UCCUACGGGAGGCAGCAGUAGGGAAUCUUCCGCAAUGGACGAAAGUCUGACGGAGCGACGCCGCGUGAGUGAUGAAGGUCUCGGAUCGUAAAACUCUGUUAUUAGGGAAGAACAAACGUGUAAGUAACUGUGCACGUCUUGACGGUACCUAAUCAGAAAGCCACGGCUAACUACGUG
rnacentral:rRNA from 1 species